rnacentral:rRNA from 1 species
GACGAACGCUGGCGGCGUGCUUAACACAUGCAAGUCGAACGGAAAGGCCCUGCUUUUGUGGGGUGCUCGAGUGGCGAACGGGUGAGUAACACGUGAGUAACCUGCCCUUGACUUUGGGAUAACUUCAGGAAACUGGGGCUAAUACCGGAUAGGAGCUCCUGCUGCAUGGUGGGGGUUGGAAAGUUUCGGCGGUUGGGGAUGGACUCGCGGCUUAUCAGCUUGUUGGUGGGGUAGUGGCUUACCAAGGCUUUGACGGGUAGCCGGCCUGAGAGGGUGACCGGCCACAUUGGGACUGAGAUACGGCCCAGACUCCUACGGGAGGCAGCAGUGGGGAAUAUGGAACAAUGGGCGGAAGCCUGAUGCAGCAACGCCGCGUGCGGGAUGACGGCCUUCGGGUUGUAAACCGCUUUCGCCUGUGACGAAGCGUGAGUGACGGUAAUGGGUAAAGAAGCACCGGCUAACUACGUG